rnacentral:tRNA from 1 species
UUACAGGGAGACCGCCCGCUGAAGCAAGGAUGAGGGAGGAAGUCGGGAGGAUGAAACAAGCCGACCGCCUGCUAGCCCAGACCAGAAAAUCCUUCUCAGACGGUCAACCCGGUCGGUCGGAGAGAAUGGUGGCUGGCUUUCAAACUAGUUCAGGUCGGGAAUGGGCUAUUAGCUCAGGUGGUUAGAGCGCACCCCUGAUAAGGGUGAGGUCCCUGGUUCGAGUCCAGGAUGGCCCACCUUAACGCGGGGGUUUAGCUCAGUUGGUAGAGCGCCUGCUUUGCAAGCAGGAUGUCAGCGGUUCGAGUCCGCUAACCUCCACUGAGCAAGGACGUGAUUCAGCACCUCGUCUGGGUUUAGUCACCCUAGACAAGCGAGUCUGCUGGAGCAUCUCCAGCCAAGGGAACCUUGAAAACUGCAUAGUCAAUAGUCAGGUAGAACGUGGUUGUUGAGUUUAGCUCAACAACAGCACAGACACCAAUGUAAUAGUGUGGUCAAGCUAAUGAGGGCUGAUGGUGGAUACCUA